rnacentral:rRNA from 1 species
UACGGGGGGGCAAGCGUUGUUCGGAAUUACUGGGCGUAAAGGGCUCGUAGGCGGAUUGCUAAGUCAGGGGUGAAAUCCUGGAGCUCAACUCCAGAACUGCCUUUGAUACUGAGGAUCUCGAGUCCGGGAGAGGUGAGUGGAACUCCGAGUGUAGAGGUGAAAAUUCGUAGAUUAUUCGCAAGAACACCAGUGGCGAAGGCGCUUACUGGUCCGGUUCUGACGCUGAGGCGCGAAAACGUGGGGGAGCAAAACAGG